GAGGGUACAGCUUAAGCAGCAAAGCACGUGCUUAGCAUGCACGAGGUCCUGGGUUCAAUCCCCAGUGCCUCCU
rnacentral:tRNA from 1 species